UACAGGCCUGAGCCUGCAUCGCAAAUGGCAGGAGACAGGCAGGUGAGGCGCGUCUCAGCUCAGGUGCGGCUGCAGUGCGGCGAAAUGGGCACAGGGGGGCAGUGUGGCCCCGUGUGGCUCUGCAGCCCUCUACCGCGGAAGGAGGCCUGGCCGGGGCUGGCACCCAGGCUCCAGCAGAGCCCCGGCCUGGUGAGGGGCUGUCCGGCCACCUUCCUCCCCUCCCAGCUCAGGCCCUGUCCUACAGAACCUGGCUCUCGGGGGAGUAAAGUUCCUGCAACAUUUACUGAGUGUGAAUUUUCUCAUGGCAAACACUGUCCUGGGUUAUUUCGUUUGAUCUUCACACCAAUCCGAGGCAGGCAUGUUAUUCCCCUUCUAGAAAGAGGAAGCCGCAGCUCAGGGAAGCUGAUGAACUUCCUGGCAGGUGGCAGGGCCACGACUGAGACUCAAGUCUGUCUGACUCCAAGCCAAGUCGUCUUCACGUUCAGCCACUGCUCCUUUAUACAGCAUCUUGGAAAAUAAAGAAAAAUCUGUUCCUUAUUCUCUGGUCGCCAUCCAGACUGAAGAUGCCGCAUCACCCUCACUGAGUCAUCACCUCUGCUUUCAAAGCCUCGUUCCUUCCUCCUGGCUCUUCCGGGGACUCACACAAACCUUGGGACUGGAAGGGACCUGAGAAGUUUUCUGAGCCCGCCGUGGCUUGGGUCUCCCUGGAUGGCCUACAUUUUUAGGCGAUCUCUGCAUGACCCUCUCUCUCCUUCUGAGGUAUAAGAUUGACGACGAUCAAGAACGAGCUCCCUUCAGUUUCAGAGACUUUAAGGAAAACUAUACAGAAAGGAGCUCUUUUGUAAAGGAUCAGAAGAAGAGAAAACGAUAGGGGUUUGUUUCUUGCUGGCCUGCCCUCUUCCUCACACGUCUCUGUUCCUGCAUGAAGCAGCACUGUGUGGACAAAUGCCAGGGCGGUCAUCCACAGAUCUGGAGUUGGCUGUCCCUCGUGGAUGGGGCCCAGAGGCUCCCACCUGCAGCACUGACGGCCAUUGGGGUCCUUUCCACAGAACCACUGAGGGUCUGUCUCAUCUGUGGGCUCGUAAGGAAACGGCACAGUGAGCAAGCCAGCUCAUCACCACAUUCCUGAAGCUUGUCUCGUUAUAGUCGGAGCCCCUAAAUUUGGCUUAGGAGUCUGCUUGACCCGGGGCUUCCUGGAGACCUGUGAUCUUGUGAUUACAAGACCGGGGCGGUGAUGCUGUACAGGGGUCAGUUUAGGAAGACAUUGGUGAGCCUGAAAUGGGAGUUGGAGAGAAGACAGAUUAUAACAUUAUUUAGCAGCAUGUGGGCCACCAGCACAGCACGACUGCUAAGAGUGGUGUAGGUCGAUGCCUGGGAACUGAAUCCAGGCCACCAAAGCGGAGCACACUGAACUUAACCACUAGGCCCCAUUGCGGCUGGCCCCAAGAUAACUGUUAUUUUUAACUGAAUUUUGUUGCCAAACAAAGAAUGAUGCUUCUUUUCUCUGGGAUGAACAUAAAUCAACAUAAACCAAAAUUGUAUUUUUCUGCAGAGAUUAUGCUAUAAACUGGUAGAAAAGUCAACUGUCAGCUUACACUACUCACCAGGAGGGCAGCAUGAGCCCUGAGAAGGGGUGAAAGCACAGGUCCCUCGUGAACGUCCCCAUCAGGGCACGACAGGUCCUGCAUACCAUGUGCCCACGGGACAGCAUGCAGGCACAACUCCUAAUUAGCAAGGACCCAUUUCCAUGUUAGUUCAAAAAAUUUUGGUGAAGUUGAUAAUUCUAAUGCUUUUAAAAUUCCUUUCAAGAAUGUAUUUUUCUUUGCUGGAAUAACCUAAAUAAAUAUUUUAAUAAAUUAGAUUUAAUGGAAUGAAGAAUUGUGAACAAAACGAAGAUAGAGUUGUCUCUGGGGAACAGAUAACAAUUAGAGAAACUUUUGAAUAAAAUAAAGUGAUAGUUUAAAAUGAGGUGAGGUGAGAAGAGCCUGAACACAUGAAGAAUGACUGAUUUUAAUUGGCUGUAGAGUGCUUUGCCUGGUCUCUUUAAAAAAGAGACAAAAUCUAAGUCUUAAAAUGUUCAAACAAAACAAAAACUCAAAAAUGUAUUUAAAGGCUUGAACCCGGGCCUCUGUAUACGAAAGGGGUGUUUGUAGCAAGCUAGUAAAACCAAGGAAGUUUUGACCUAGAUUAUUCCUUCCCCUCAUCCAUUCACUAAGUCAACAAAUCUUUCUCGAGCACCUGGGCAAGGCCAUCAAACCCUUGGCAACACAGAGCAUAAUCUAUUGGUGCAUGUCCACACAUGCUGAGUUCCUCCCGCGCAGACUUGCCAAGGCCAGUGGUUUCCACUGUGCUCCCUUUGAGGCCCACCCACCUCCUCACUGCGCUCCUGCUGCCUCCUGGUCCCCUCCCUCAUUCACUGAGUACUUUGGCACCUGAUUUAGCUUUCCUCUCCAG
ensembl:lncRNA